rnacentral:rRNA from 1 species
UGCGUAGGCGGUUCGUUAAGUCAAAUCUGAAAGCCCCCGGCUUAACCGGGGAGAGUGAUUUGAAACUGGCGGACUUGAGUAUGGCAGAGGUUAGUGGAAUUUCAUGUGUAGCGGUGGAAUGCGUAGAUAUAUGAAGGAACACCAGUGGCGAAGGCGGCUAACUGGACCAGAACUGACGCUGAGGCACGAAAGCGUGGGGAGCAAACAGGAUUAGAUACCCUGGUAGUCC